GCACAAGCGGUGGAGCAUGUGGUUUAAUUCGAUGCAACGCGAAGAACCUUACCUGGGCUUGACAUCCCGGGAAUCCCCUGGAAACAGGGGAGUGCCCUUCGGGAACCCGGUGACAGGUGCUGCAUGGCUGUCGUCAGCUCGUGUCGUGAGAUGUUGGGUUAAGUCCCGCAACGAGCGCAACCCUUGUCUUUAAUUGCCAUCAUUUAGUUGGGCACUUUAAAGAGACUGCCGGUGUUAAACCGGAGGAAGGUGGGGAUGACGUCAAGUCCUCAUGGCCUUUAUGCUUAGGGCUACACACGUGCUACAAUGGGUGGUACAAAGAGAAGCCAACUCGCGAGAGCGCGCCAAUCUCAAAAAGCCAUCCUCAGUUCGGAUUGGAGUCUGCAACUCGACUCCAUGAAGUUGGAAUCGCUAGUAAUCGCGGAUCAGCAUGCCCGCGGUCGAAUACGUUCCGGGCCUU
rnacentral:rRNA from 1 species